rnacentral:rRNA from 1 species
UACGUAGGGGGCAAGCGUUGUUCGGAAUUACUGGGCGUAAAGGGCUCGUAGGCGGCCAACUAAGUCAGACGUGAAAUCCCUCGGCUUAACCGGGGAACUGCAUCUGAUACUGGAUGGCUUGAGUUCGGGAGAGGGAUGCGGAAUUCCAGGUGUAGCGGUGAAAUGCGUAGAUAUCUGGAGGAACACCGGUGGCGAAGGCGGCAUCCUGGACCGACACUGACGCUGAGGAGCGAAAGCGUGGGGAGCAAACAGG